rnacentral:misc_RNA from 1 species
GCAUCUUGGGGGUUGUUUCGUUGGUUUGUUUCCGGUGGUUGGCUCUCCGCUUAAUUGCGACAACUUCCACCUGGCAUACCUCUUCAGUUGCGUAUCAAGGCUGUAUUGCCUUGUUCGUAUCGUGGGUUUCUGUGUUGCCUACCAAGUUGACGGUAUCGUUUGGACCCAUCAAGCUAUCCUUUCGUCUUGCAUCACACUUGUGGUGUGAGGUGAACCAUGAAGCGGUCUCUGUGAUCCAUCUUGUUGACAUGAACGUGUCGGCGUUGUGGGUCAUUGAGCAUUGCUUGGUAUUAUGGAUACGGAACAUGAUGUGGGCACGGGGUCUCUCGGGAUUCCUGUUUUUGCCUAUUUGGAGCGUUAUCCUUCUUCUAAGACGAUCGUCCAGCCCGAAUUGGCUCGUACCACCGGGUGGAUAUGUUGUCAAGGAAGGAUGCUAAUGCUCUAGCUUCUCAAAAAAGACCGCCCAUCCUGUAUUGGCUUGUACAAGCGGGUUGGGCGUGUCCAAAAGGGAUGCUACCUGGUUGAUCCUGCCAGUAGUCAUAUGCUUGUCUCAA